rnacentral:tRNA from 1 species
GCCGACGUCAUUCAAUGGCCAGGAUGUCGCCUUUGUAACGCGAUCACGUGGGUUCGACUCCCGCCGUCGGCACCG